AUGCUUGCUUUGGCAGCACAUAUACUAAAAUUGGAAUGAUACAAAGAAGAUUAGCAUGGCCCUGGCACAAGGAUGACAUACAAAUUUGUGAAGUGUUCUAUAUUAAA
rnacentral:snRNA from 1 species